rnacentral:rRNA from 1 species
AUUGAACGCUGGCGGCAUGCCUUACACAUGCAAGUCGAACGGCAGCGCGGACUUCGGUCUGGCGGCGAGUGGCGAACGGGUGAGUAAUACAUCGGAACGUACCCUGUUGUGGGGGAUAACUAGUCGAAAGAUUAGCCAAUACCGCAUACGACCUGAGGGUGAAAGUGGGGGACCGCAAGGCCUCACGCAGCAGGAGCGGCCGAUGUCUGAUUAGCUAGUUGGUGGGGUAAAGGCCCACCAAGGCGACGAUCAGUAGCUGGUCUGAGAGGACGAUCAGGCACACUGGGACUGAGACACGGCCCAGACUCCUACGGGAGGCAGCAGUGGGGAAUUUUGGACAAUGGGGGCAACCCUGAUCCAGCAAUGCCGCGUGUGUGAAGAAGGCCUUCGGGUUGUAAAGCACUUUUGUCCGGAAAGAAAUCGCGCUGGUUAAUACCUGGCGUGGAUGACGGUACCGGAAGAAUAAGCACCGGCUAACUACGUGCCAGCAGCCGCCGUAAAAC